rnacentral:RNase_P_RNA from 2 species
GCGGAGGGCCGGGCGGCCGCUGGUGCGCAAUUGCGCACGAGAGGAAAGUCCGGACUCCCUGAAGCAGCGGUGCCGGGUAACGCCCGGGCGGGGCAACCCGACGGAAAGCGCCACAGAAAACAGACCGCCCCGGGGGCAGCCUUCGGGGCAAGGGUGAAACGGUGGGGCAAGAGCCCACCGCGCCCCUGGCAACAGGGGCGGCACGGCAAGCCCCACCGGGAGCAAUGCCAAAUAGGAUCCCCGCGCGGCCCGCGCCGCAGGGCCCGCUUCAGCCGGGGGAUCGGGUUGGCAGCCAGAGGCCCGCGGCAACGCGCGCCCUAGAGGAAUGGUCGCCCAGAGGGGUUCGCCCCCUGGACAGAAUCCGGCUUACAGGCCCUCCGCGCAU